rnacentral:rRNA from 1 species
AGAUUAAGCCAUGCAUGUCUAAGUAUAAGCAACUUGUACUGUGAAACUGCGAAUGGCUCAUUAAAUCAGUUAUCGUUUAUUUGAUAGUACCUUACUACAUGGAUACCUGUGGUAAUUCUAGAGCUAAUACAUGCUAAAAACCCCGACUUCAGGAAGGGGUGUAUUUAUUAGAUAAAAAACCAACGCCCUUCGGGGCUCCUUGGUGAAUCAUAAUAACUUAACGAAUCGCAUGGCCUUGCGCCGGCGAUGGUUCAUUCAAAUUUCUGCCCUAUCAACUUUCGAUGGUAGGAUAGUGGCCUACCAUGGUGGCAACGGGUAACGGGGAAUUAGGGUUCGAUUCCGGAGAGGGAGCCUGAGAAACGGCUACCACAUCCAAGGAAGGCAGCAGGCGCGCAAAUUACCCAAUCCCGAUACGGGGAGGUAGUGACAAUAAAUACUGAUACGGGGCUCUUUUGGGUCUCGUAAUUGGAAUGAGAACAAUUUAAAUCCCUUAACGAGGAACAAUUGGAGGGCAAGUCUGGUGCCAGCAGCCGCGGUAAUUCCAGCUCCAAUAGCGUAUAUUAAAGUUGUUGCAGUUAAAAAGCUCGUAGUUGAACCUUGGGCCUGGCUGGCCGGUCCGCCUCACCGCGAGUACUGGUCCGGCUGGGCCUUUCCUUCUGGGGAACCUCAUGGCCUUCACUGGCUGUGGGGGGAACCAGGACUUUUACUGUGAAAAAAUUAGAGUGUUCAAAGCAGGCCUUUGCUCGAAUACAUUAGCAUGGAAUAAUAGAAUAGGACGUGUGGUUCUAUUUUGUUGGUUUCUAGGACCGCCGUAAUGAUUAAUARGGAUAGUCGGGGGCGUCAGUAUUCAGCUGUCAGAGGUGAAAUUCUUGRAWUUGCUGAARACUAACUACUGCGAAAGCAUUCSCCAAGGGAWGUUUUCAUWAUCMGGGAACRAAGUUAGGGRAUYCGAARASGAWCARAWWMCCGUYCSUAGUCUUAACCAUAAACUWUGCCGACYAGGGAYCSRACGGRAUUCUAWAAUGACCCKUUCGCMCCUUACAGAAARUCAAGWUUUUUGGAUUYYKGRGGRGAWURKGGBCSCAGCUUMAAHC